AGAAUGACUCUCGGCAACGGAUAUCUCGGCUCUUGCAUCGAUGAAGAACGUAGCGAAAUGCGAUACUUGGUGUGAAUUGCAGAAUCCCGUGAACCAUCGAGUCUUUGAACGCAAGUUGCGCCUGAGGCCACUAGGUCGAGGGCACGUYUGCCUGGGCGUCACAC
rnacentral:rRNA from 1 species